rnacentral:rRNA from 1 species
GUUGGGUCGUUUAAUUGUCAGGAGUGGGAGGAAGACUCCCAAGCCAAUUCCAUUUGUUGUUGGGAGGAUUCACCCCCCGGGAAUGAACCCGGUCCAGAUUCCUCGGGGAGCCACAGUGGGAAUUUCCCAAAUGGGGAAACCUGAUCCACCACGCCGCUGGAGGAGACGCAUUUCGGGUGUAACUCCUUUUAUAGGGAAGAUAAGACGGUACCAUAUGAAUAACACCGGCUAACUCCGUGCCAGCAGCCGCGGUAAUACGGAGGGUGCAAGCGUUACUCGGAAUCACUGGGCGUAAAGCGCGCGCAGGCGGGUUUGUAAGUUGGAAGUGAAAUCCUAUGGCUUAACCAUAGAACUGCUUCCAAAACUACUUACCUUAGAGUGUGGGAGGGGAAGAUGGAAUUAGUUGUGUAGGGGUAAAAUCCGUAGAGAUAACUAGGAAUACCAAAAGCGAAGGCGAUCUUCUGGAACACUACUGACGCUGAGAUGCGAAAGUGUGGGGAGCAAACAGGAUUAGAUACCCUGGUAGUCCACGCAGUAAACGAUGAAUGUUAGUCGUCGGUAUGCAAGUCAUAUCGGUGAUGCAGUUAACACAUUAAACAUUCCGCCUGGGGAGUACGGUCGCAAGAUUAAAACUCAAAGGAAUAGACGGGGACCCGCACAAGUGGUGGAGCAUGUGGUUUAAUUCGAAGAUACGCGAAGAACCUUACCUAGCCUUGACAUUGAAAGAAUACUAUAGAGAUAUGGUAGUGCCCUUUUGGGAGCUUGAAAACAGGUGCUGCACGGCUGUCGUCAGCUCGUGUCGUGAGAUGUUGGGUUAAGUCCCGCAACGAGCGCAACCCUCGUCACUAGUUACUAACGGUUCGGCCGAGGACUCUAGUGAGACUGCCUUCGUAAGGAGGAGGAAGGUGAGGACGACGUCAAGUCAUCAUGGCCCUUACGGCUAGGGCUACACACGUGCUACAAUGGUUAGGACAAUGAGAAGCGAUACCGCGAGGUGGAGCAAAUCUAUAAACCUAAUCUCAGUUCGGAUAGGACUCUGCAACUCGAGUCCUUGAAGCUGGAAUCACUAGUAAUCGUAGAUCAGCAAUGCUACGGUGAAUACGUUCCCGGGUCUUGUACUCACCGCCCGUCACACCAUGGGAGUUGAUUUCACCCGAAGCGGGGAAGCUAAACUGGCUACCCUCCACGGUGGAAUUAGCGACUGGGGUGAAGUCGUAACAAGGUACC